AGUCUUAGUAGAGAGGGCACAAAGAGUGCAGUGAAGGCCAACUUGUACCACACAGCUCAAGAAUAAUCAACAAAGACCGGAGAUGGCAAAAGUACGUACAUGCUCACACACUGGGAAAAGUAGAUGAGUCUUGUUGUAGGUGCAGAUUGAAAAAAAGUCUCUUUUCAAAUGUAGGGAGUGAAAAUAGAGAAAUUGCCAGAAAAUUUCAAACUGAAGUCAAAUACAGAAAGUGAGUGAGUGAGUGAGUGAGUGAGUUACUUCCCAGCACUGCCAACCACUGAACUCACCAAUCACGCUGACGCAUGCGAUCGAUGCCUUCUUGUGAGCCCGCAGGGAAGACGUCAAAGAUGCAGCGAAAGCAGCCCUCGUGCUCAAGCCGCACCUCUAUAAUGGUGAUGGAACUGGAGUUCUUUUGCCAAGAGACGAGCUGCACGUUGGAGUCCUGGUGGCUAACGCGGAUGGACGCUCCGGCCCAAUAGGAGGGGACGGCCUGCCUGCUUCGGCAGAAGCUAAGACCGCACCUGAGACAAUACAAUGGCAAGGCUGAUUGGCUGGCUGGCUGGCUGGCUGGCAGUGAAGGAAUUCUCAAUAUCUCUGACAUCAUUGUUAAGCCAUGACAUUUAUUUUCAAACGUGUCACAGUGACAAUGUUAGUGUUGCCAAAUGAUGAUUUUAAAAUUGAGAUGAACUUUUCAUGAAAUAAAAUUGUUUAUUAACCU